rnacentral:ncRNA from 1 species
UAAAUAAAUUAUUUAUGUUUUAAAAAUUUUAUUAUGAAUUUAUUUUACAUAUAAAUUUUAGUAUAAAAUUUUAAUUAUUUUAAUAAUAAUUAAUUAUUUAAGUAGUAAUUAAUAUUAAAAAUUUAAGAAAUUAAGAUUUAGUAAUAUAAAAAUUAAUAACUAAUUUUGUGCCAGCAGUUGCGGUUAUACAAAAAUUAAAUUAAAUUAUUUCAGUUUAUAAUUAAUAAAUUUAAAUUUAAAUUAAAUAUUAAAUUAUUAAGUGAAAUUUUAAUUUAAUUAAAUUUUAUUUUUAAAUUAUGAAUUAAUAAAUUUUAAUAUAAACUAGGAUUAGAUACCCUAUUAUUAAAAAUUUAAUUUAUAAUACUAAAAUAGUAAAUAAAUAUAUAUUGAAACUUGAAUAAAAUGGCGGUAUUUUAGUUCAUUUAGAGGAAUCUGUCUAAUAAUUGAUAAUCCACGAAUAAAUUUACUUAAUUUUAAAUUUUGUAUAUCAUUGUUAAAAAAAUAUUUUAAAAUAAGAAUAAUAUUUUAAAAUUUUAAUAUAAAAUUAAUUCAGAUCAAGAUGCAGAUUAUAAUUAAGAAUAUGAUGGAUUACAAUAAAUAUAUUUAAAUGAAUAAUAUUAUUGUAAAAUAUAUUUAAAAGUGGAUUUAAAUGUAAUUUUAAUUAAUUUAUUAAAAUGAUUAAAAAUUAAAAUAUGUACAUAUUGCCCGUCACUUUCAUUUAAAAAUUGAAAUAAGUCGUAACAAAGUAGAGGUACUGGAAAGUGUUUCUAGAAAGGA